GAAGGGAGCUUGCUCCUGGAUUCAGCGGCGGACGGGUGAGUAAUGCCUAGGAAUCUGCCUGGUAGUGGGGGAUAACGUCCGGAAACGGGCGCUAAUACCGCAUACGUCCUGAGGGAGAAAGUGGGGGAUCUUCGGACCUCACGCUAUCAGAUGAGCCUAGGUCGGAUUAGCUAGUUGGUGGGGUAAAGGCCUACCAAGGCGACGAUCCGUAACUGGUCUGAGAGGAUGAUCAGUCACACUGGAACUGAGACACGGUCCAGACUCCUACGGGAGGCAGCAGUGGGGAAUAUUGCACAAUGGGCGCAAGCCUGAUGCAGCCAUGCCGCGUGUGUGAAGAAGGCCUUCGGGUUGUAAAGCACUUUCAGCGGGGAGGAAGGCGUUAAGGUUAAUAACCUUGGCGAUUGACGUUACCCGCAGAAGAAGCACCGGCUAACUCCGUGCCAGCAGCCGCGGUAAUACGGAGGGUGCAAGCGUUAAUCGGAAUUACUGGGCGUAAAGCGCGCGUAGGUGGUUCAGCAAGUUGGAUGUGAAAUCCCCGGGCUCAACCUGGGAACUGCAUCCAAAACUACUGAGCUAGAGUACGGUAGAGGGUGGUGGAAUUUCCUGUGUAGCGGUGAAAUGCGUAGAUAUAGGAAGGAACACCAGUGGCGAAGGCGACCACCUGGACUGAUACUGACACUGAGGUGCGAAAGCGUGGGGA
rnacentral:rRNA from 1 species